GAGGAAACCUCCGCUUCUAAUAAUGACCCUGUGCUCUCCGGGCGAUCCUACGGAGCGGGGUACCUGGCUGCCUGGGCCCACGUACCCACGCACACACCAAGGCCAUCCCAUCCAAACUUCGCUGUGAAAGUGACCGAUGUGAUCAACGUGCUAAAGAAUGAGCCAGAGCUGAGGUCGGACUGAGUUGCACGGGAUUCUCAUCAACAAGGGAACGUGUUAUGGCAAGAGGAUAAAAGACACACAGACGCUCCCCGGGCCAAACCUCGGGAAUCAUCUGCACUCUCCCUAGGGGCCAGGGGCAUCUCUCAGGGGCCUCCCCUCUGACCUGAGAGGGAGCUCUGAGGGAACAGAGACGAGGACUGUUCCAGCGCCAGGCUUCCAGUCAUGGAAAGAAAAGCCCAAUCCCACAAUGGCAGGAAAGGGAAACGUGUGCUGGAAGUCUGGCCGCUGUUACAGUGUGGGCCUGGGAGGAAGUGGUCAUCAUCAGCACAUUAUAAACAUACCGUACAUAGGCCUCGUGUCAGAACGAGACAGGCCUGUACUAGGGUGUUAAUUGGGAUACUGCAAUUUAAUUAUAUAUAAAUUUAAUUGUCUGUUAGGAGGUCUACGUUUGCAAACAUAAAUGGAACAUCUGAAUCACUAUACAAUAUAUGUAUUUCCACCAUUUAAAUUAAAUCAUGAUUCCCCCCCAUCAUUUGCUUUCAGAUAUCCCAGUCAAACACAACCCCUGCUCCUUGCAUCCGCAUCCCAUUCGCCGUUCACCGGGGCAAUCCCCACGGACAUGCUUCUGGGAAAUGAGCAGGAGAGGAGGUGACAGAAGCUCAAUAGAUUAUCGAAGCAGGGCUCAUUAUACGCCCUCACGCAGUUCAGGAGUCUGUACUAGCAGUCAUCUCGAGCCAAGGGAUCGGGGUGCAGACGGAGAGCCACACCUGGCAGAACUCAACAUCUGGCUGAACUGUUACAUGAACAACUCUCACUGAACUCUGAUUCCACAUCGGAGACAUUCCAGCAUGGUCCUUUAUCUUAGCAACGUACCUUUAGCCUCAUUGGACUGAACAUACCGCAGGGCCUAGGAUAAUCCCAACCCAUUACCGCAAAGCACACUAUUCCAAACAGUGAGGCAGUGUGUACCACUGCCCACCUCGUCCCCCUGUCCUGCCCCCCCCCUCUCCCUCUACACCCCAUGACCC
ensembl:lncRNA